UUCAAACAUGGCUUAAAGAUUUGAGCAAACAUGGACAAAUGUUUGGGAUCGUUAGCGCCAAUUUUUGCUGUCCUAUUGUUUUGCGAUGAAAAGCUGGGCCCAACCCUAUAUGUCAGCCCAAUUUCCCGAAUUGAACCCGUUUUAUAAGUGGUACUACAUUUCGAAUUCCUUAAUCGACACUUCAUGGUAUCUUCAAUUUUGUGCCAACGUCGAACGCCGGCAUAAAUCUAACACCGGACACCGUCUCAGUCACUGAAUCUGUUGUCAGGGCCACCGGCGCUACUUCAUUCAACAAAAUUAGGUACUAUUUUAUCACUUAGGGUUAACUCUUUUAACUUCUGAGUUCAUAGUUUAACCUGUAUAAUAUCGCUAGGAUAUUUACUUCGAUCUUCUCGUGUUUAUUUGUCAGCACAUAUUGGAUUACAGGUUUGGUUGUCUUUGAUCUUGAAUUUCGAACCCUCAAAGAUAAACCCUGUAUUAAAUUCUUUUGGAACUUGAUUCAUUGACACUGUUGGCGAAAUUUUAUUAUUUUAGUUCAUAAUAUCACAGUAUUGAGUGAAAUAGUUGUGCUCGUAAGAUGAUGUUCUUUCGUAAAUAUAGUAAAGUUUGUUUUGAACUUGGAUAACAAAGGGCUAAGUUUAACAACUUAGAAACGAAGUUGAACAAAGUGACGAAAAGAAAGAAGAAGAAAUUGAUAAAAUGAUCCGAGGCAAGUGAAAACACUCUUUUCUUAAAUCAAAUUUGCCUCGCAACAGUGCUAACGGAGUAAUGGCAAUUGUCUUUCAAGAUAUAACUGAUUACUUCCUUAUAGUAGAAGCACUUCAAAUUAUAAGAUAACAACGAACUUGAAAGGAUUAUUCUCUCUACAAGAAAAUGUUUUUAGAAUGAUUUUUGGAGAGGUUUUGUAAGAGUUUUGAUAUAAUGCUCAAUGUAAAUGAUAUGGGAUACAUAAUGGAAAUUCAAAGGGUCCUAUCUAGAAGAGGAGAGGUUGUGAUUGAAGUGACACAAUCCAAACUCCGCAACCUUACGAAGGAAAGCAUCCCUUGUUUGUCGCUAGCAUAUCGUUGACCUCUCACUCGAGUGCCAGUGUCGUUUUUCAACAUAAACUUUUCGCCUACUUGUCCCUUCCCUGUCGCUUGGGCGACAGUCUUAUUGCUCGAGCGCUAGGCGAGCAAUGGAUCUAGGCAAUUUUUUCGGCCGCAAUUUCUCAUUCAUUCCGAAUUGAUUUUCAGAUUUCAAAUAUACCAUGAUGAUUUACACGAUGAAUAGAAUAAGUUAGUCUAUUUAUAUUUAUAAUUUAACUAUCAGAUCAAGUCCGAAUAUUUGGCCGAAAUUGACACAAUGUCACUUUUCAUUCUUUAUUCUUCCCAGGUUUUUCAAUCUUUAAACCAAAUUCCAACAAUCUCUCCCAUGAAUUGAAAUUCAAAUAUGUUCAUGCUAUGCAAAAGUAUGAUGCAUUAUAGAGAGUGCAGAAAUAUAUUGCAUUAGGUAAGGUAGUCUUCGGCUUGAACCUUCCUUAUUGAAAUACUAUUGGAUUUACUUGACUAAUUGAUGGAUAUAAUGUCUUGAACAAUUCAGCCGUUGGUGUAAAGUAAGACAAUAAUACUCAUACAGAUGUCUUUUCUAAAAUCGUUCAUGUUUUUAUUACUUAGUUCAUUUUGGCCUUGAACCACUCUUAGGUUUCGUAAGUGUUUUAGAAAAUUUCAGUUUCGAAAAUUUUCGUUUAAGCGGCCUUACUUUGCACGUACAUAGGUGAUAUUCGAUUAAGAGUAUUUUGCUCUACUCCACUUGACUUAAUCAAGAGAUAGGUAUCAUU
rnacentral:lncRNA from 1 species